AUGAGGUUUCAUUUCCAAGGCUGUGACAAUCUGGAAAGGACCUUAUGUGAAUCAGAUAUCACAUAUAUCAACAUGUUAGCUAUUAUUGGGAUAGAGGGCUAUGAUCAAAAGGAUUCAAUGUACUAUGUGAAGCAAGAAGGUGUAGGAAUGGCAGGCAUGCAGCUAAUCCAAUCUAAGGAAGAUGUAGAAGAAAUGUUGAUAUUGUAUGAGGAGAAGAGGUGUGUUACUAUCACAGUAAUGAAAGGAAGAGACUCAGAGAUGGAAAAGUGCCAGAUCAACAUUGGAGAUGGAUGUGAAAAGAAGAUUCCAAUUUCUGAGAUUGGUUGUCCAAAGGUGUAUGAUAACCCACAAGUAUAG
rnacentral:rRNA from 1 species